GAUGAACGCUGGCUACAGGCUUAACACAUGCAAGUCGAGGGGAAACGACGGGGAAGCUUGCUUCCCCGGGCGUCGACCGGCGCACGGGUGAGUAACGCGUAUCCAACCUGCCUCUGACUGAGGGAUAACCCGUCGAAAGUCGGCCUAAUACCUCAUGGCAUCGUCUGCGGGCAUCCAACGACGAUUAAAGAUUUCAUCGGUCAGGGAUGGGGAUGCGUCUGAUUAGCUAGUUGGCGGGGUAACGGCCCACCAAGGCGACGAUCAGUAGGGGUUCUGAGAGGAAGGUCCCCCACAUUGGAACUGAGACACGGUCCAAACUCCUACGGGAGGCAGCAGUGAGGAAUAUGGGUCAAGGGGCGAGAGCCUGAACCAGCCAAGUAGCGUGCAGGAGGACGGCCCUAUGGGUUGUAAACUGCUUUUAUGCGGGGAUAAAGUGAGGGACGUGUCCUUCAUUGCAGGUACCGCAUGAAUAAGGACCGGCUAAUUCCGUG
rnacentral:rRNA from 1 species